ensembl:lincRNA
CGGGAACCCACACUGUCAGUUGCGUCUGCAGACGUCGCCUCCCCUCCCUCCCCCGCCUCUUUGCACCCGCCCUCACCGCACCGGCUGCUUCCUGAGCGGCUGUAUCCUACCGCCCCCCUAACCCCGCUCCUCCGCCAGCAGCAAUUACGCCUAAUGGAAGCUCAGCGUGACGCAGCUCGAGGUUCUAGGCAUCUGAAGCGCUGGCGCUGAGCUCCGGUCCCCAGGGGCUGCUGGGGCCCUGUGUCUCUCUGGACGAGCUGCGGGCUGGAGGCCUCCAAAUGUCACCACCUGCGUCCACAUCACAUUCCAGUGCCCCAGAGCACCCGGCUGCCGGAUGAGAAGGGGAGGAAGCUCGAUGUGUGCCAGGAACGUCUCGGAACCAUUCAACAGGAGGCUGUUCUGCCAGAUGCUGCCUUUUGGGGGAGCAGAGCACGGUAAGAGGGGGCUGCUCUUCACAGGGCAGGGUGAGAGUGGGGAGUGCCAGAAGCUCUGCCCUCAGCCUCACGCCUGGCUCUAUCCAAACCAGAGGUCUCUGCAGAACCCAGGAAGGCCUUGGACAGAGGUAAUCCGGAACAUUCUGGUUUCAAAAAUGGGGAGCAGUGGCAAAGAAGUGGGGACCCUUGUUGAAGCCCAAGUCGUUCCUGCCUGUCAUGGGUGCCCUGGUGUGGCCAGGCCAACCCUGCCAAGGGCAGCAGCCAUGUCUGCUUCCAGCUUUCUGUGGGGGACAGUGGGGAGCUGGGUGCCCCACCGCUCACUCUGUCCAGAUUGCUGGAGAGAGGAGCAGGUAACUUCCCUUACCUCCCAGCCACGGGUGGGAGCUGGUUGACGUGGGUGGACUCACGUAGCCGGUGUAAGCCUCUUUGGGCUUCCCCAGAAGGGGAACCAGAACAUCUGGGACAUUUAUUUGGUUUUCCUGGGUGCUUAGGGGACCUGGGUUUGAGCCCCAAAUGCCACUCACUGAUUGGGGACUUUGAUCAGUGAUUCAGGAACCUGGGAUCUCUGAGCCUGAGGGAAGAGACACGCAUGCCUGAGGGUCCAGCCCAGGGGACCCCACUGGCUUAUGAUGGAGCCCCUACGGCUUAGCGUGGGCUCAGUACACCUUCCUGUCCUUUCCUAGGGCUGGAACACAUUCAGUUCCCUCUGUCACACUCCUCCCCUCCUCUCCCUGUCUUCACAGGGUGUGGGGUGCAUUCUUUAAGGAAAUAUGAGGCGCUCUUGCAAAAGAACACCCCACAUGCAUGGCUUAAGAUAACAGAGGUUUAUUGAUUGUUCUCACAGCGGUACAAAGCCCGUGUCCUGCUCUGUAGGGGCAGCUCCUCCUUGCAGCUAGGGAUGGAGGAAUCCUUUUGUCCUGUGCCUCUGUCUGCCCCACGGCACUUGCUUCCAGCUGGGGCAGGAGAUACUGGAUAAGACCCACCUGCCUCUUAGAAUCCUGGACCCCACCAUAGCACAUUAGAUCUUCCACGUUCACAAUGGCUUCCUCCUCCAGGAAGCCUGCCCUGAGUGGCACAGGGACCAGGUGUCCCUCUUCUGUGCACCCAGCAUCCUGUCCCUCUCUGAGUCUCACUGUGUGGUCAGUACUGUACUGUAAGCACCAGGAUCCUAUUUGGAUCCCGGAGUAGGAAGGAGCCCUUUGAUCUUAAAUUCUGUAUCCACCGGCACACGCCUCCUGCCUGACACAACAUGGACACAAUCAAAUUUUUCUGGGUGGACAGAGAGGUGGACGGACAUAGGCUUUGGGUGCAUGGGUGGACAGGAAAUAAAGACAGUCUGGUUUUCCAAGGAAACCUUGGUCUCCCAGCACCUUGGGACACCCCCCCUCACUUCUAGCUUUUCUGGUGGGUGAGUUCCUGGCUCUGUGGAAACUUCGGUACUGCCCCCAAUCCACCUUAGGAUCCUGCGGCCUGCUUUCCUUCCUGUUCCUCUGUCUCUGGGGACCCUGGGGGGGGGGGCGGAUGAGAGGCACCUAGUUCUGGCCAUCCCCUGCCACCUGGAAUCCAGCCAGCCCCUGACCACUGCUUCCUUCCUUCUCCCCAAGGCGAGGGCCCCUGGACAACUUCUGCUUCCCCUCCCGGUUCAGCCAGAUCUGCUGGGUCCAGCCCACACUUCUUCCUGGAAAGAAACAGCACCCAGCCACCCACCAGGCUGCUCCACGUUGGCCCCAGCCAAAGACUAAACCCCAAAGGAGGGAGGCCAGCGACCCUGCAAACAAGGCUCUCAAACCAGCAGCUGGGGAAAGGACACAGGUGGAGGGUGGAGGGCUUGGAUCCCCUUCUGCUGCCCAAGAGGAAGAAAUGAAUCCCCAGAGGCGUGGGUGACCUCUCUAUGCACUCACCCAGCACUUGAGGGCACAGAAUGGGAGCAGGUGAGGCCUGGGCCACAGCUCACUCUGAGGGCUCAGACUUAACUUCAGGGAGCCAAGGAGCAUUUAUUUAUAUCCCUGUUGCCUUCCUGGAGCAUUCAUUCCCCGAGUUUCCACCCAGGAAGUCUCAGCUAUGCCGCAGGAAGCUUUUCGGGUUCAACCUGGCACCAGAGUGUUCACAGGGACAACUGUCAGCCAUAGGAGCCGUAGUAAAGUGUGGUAUUUAUACCCAGUGGAAUGCCACCAUGCCGUCAAGAAUGAUAAACCCGAGUCAUUUGUAAGAACAUGGAUGCACCUUGAGAUCAUAAUGUCAAGUAAAAUAAAUCGGUCACAU